AGAAGAUGACCUCAGAGGAGAGUUGGUGAACUCCCACCCCGUGGGCACUGCAGAUCACUGGAAGCCAGAGGGAGCAGCAGCGGCCCGGGGAGCGUGCUGGCUGGUGGCGGAUGGGCUCAGGAUGCCCACGUCCAGGGAGCGAGGGAAAGCCAUGUAGUUACUGAGCCAGCGUGGCGUCUGGUCUCUCCGCCUGUCAGCAGAGUGUCAUCAGGACGGGUUCAGGCGGCCGGAAGGACUCAUGGAUGGCCAAGGAGCCACCUAAAGAUGGAGAAAUCGAGGCACAGAAAAAUUAAGUGACUUUGCCACAGUCACAAGCUGGGGAGGGCUGGGAUUAGAACCCCAAGCGAGCCCCACUACCUGCAUCUGGCCGGUGGAGUUGCACUGCCUGCCUUCUCAG